GUGAAAGGCUACGGCUCAACCGUAGUAAGCUCUUGAAACUGGGAGACUUGAGUGCAGGAGAGGAGAGUGGAAUUCCUAGUGUGGCGGUGAAAUGCGUAGAUAUUAGGAGGAACACCAGUUGCGAAGGCGGCUCUCUGGACUGUAACUGACGCUGAGGCACGAAAGCGUGGGGAGCAAACAGGAUUAGAUACCCUGGUAGUCCACGCUGUA
rnacentral:rRNA from 1 species